GAUGAACGCUGGCGGCGUGUCUAAUACAUGCCAGUCGAGCGAACGGACGAGAAGCUUGCUUCUCUGAUGUUAGCGGCGGACGGGUGAGUAACACGUGGAUAACCUACCUAUAAGACUGGGAUAACUUCGGGAAACCGGAGCUAAUACCGGAUAAUAUUUUGAACCGCAUGGUUCAAAAGUGAAAGACGGUCUUGCUGUCACUUAUAGAUGGAUCCGCGCUGCAUUAGCUAGUUGGUAAGGUAACGGCUUACCAAGGCAACGAUGCAUAGCCGACCUGAGAGGGUGAUCGGCCACACUGGAACUGAGACACGGUCCAGACUCCUACGGGAGGCAGCAGUAGGGAAUCUUCCGCAAUGGGCGAAAGCCUGACGGAGCAACGCCGCGUGAGUGAUGAAGGUCUUCGGAUCGUAAAACUCUGUUAUUAGGGAAGAACAUAUGUGUAAGUAACUGUGCACAUCUUGACGGUACCUAAUCAGAAAGCCACGGCUAACUACGUG
rnacentral:rRNA from 1 species